rnacentral:RNase_P_RNA from 1 species
AAGAGGGAAUGAGGUAGUCGCGGGAUACCCAAAAGUAUCCUGAGGAAAGUCCGGGCUCCAAGAAAGGAUACUGGGUAACUCCCAGGAAGGGUAACCUUACGGACAGUGCCACAGAAACCAAACCGCCCAAUGGUCUGUACAGGCUGAGGGUAAGGGUGCAAAGGUGGGGUAAGAGCCUACCGGUAGAGAAGUGAUUCUCUAGCUGGACAAACCCUGUCUGGAGCAAGGCCAAAUAGGAGGGUUUAACCCUCGGGUAGGCCGCUAGAGACUCAGGGUAACCUGAGCCCCAGAUAAAUGACUACCACCAAAGGGAAAGUAAUUUCCCUUUGGUUACAGAACCCGGCUUACAUUCCCCUCUUUCCU